GAUGAACGCUAGCGGCAGGCCUAAUACAUGCAAGUCGAACGGUGUCUUCGGACAUAGUGGCGCACGGGUGCGUAACACGUAUGCAACCUACCUUACAUUGGGGGAUAGCCUUUCGAAAGGGAGAUUAAUACCGCAUAAGACAGUAGCUGGGCAUCCAGCAGCUGUUAAAGAUUUAUCGAUGUAAGCUGGGCAUGCGUCCAAUUAGCUAGUUGGUGAGGUAACGGCUCACCAAGGCAAUGAUUGGUAGGGGAACUGAGAGGUCAAUCCCCCACACUGGGUCUGAGAUACGGGCCAGACUCCGACGGGAGGCAGCAGUAGGGAAUAUUGGGCAAUGGACGCAAGGCUGACCCAGCCAUGCCGCGUGCAGGAUGAAGGCGUUAUGCGUUGUAAACUGCUUUUAUACAGGAAGAAACGACUCUUGCGAGAGGCAUUGACGGUACUGUAUGAAUAAGCACCGGCUAACUCCGUGCCAGCCGCCGCAGUAAGAC
rnacentral:rRNA from 1 species